rnacentral:rRNA from 1 species
GAUGAACGCUGGCGGCGUGCUUAACACAUGCAAGUCGAACGGAAAGGCCAGUGCUUGCACUGGUGCUCGAGUGGCGAACGGGUGAGUAACACGUGGGUGAUCUGCCCUGCACUUUGGGAUAAGCCUUGGAAACUGGGUCUAAUACCAGAUAGGACCAUGCUUUGGAUGGUGUGGUGGAAAGUUUUUUCGGUGUGGGAUGAGCUUGCGGGCUAUCAGCUUGUUGGUGGGGUAAUGGCCUACCAAGGCGUCGACGGGUAGCCGGCCUGAGAGGGUGUACGGCCACAUUGGGACUGAGAUACGGCCCAGACUCCUACGGGAGGCAGCAGUGGGGAAUAUUGCACAAUGGGCGCAAGCCUGAUGCAGCGACGCCGCGUGGGGGAUGACGGCCUUCGGGUUGUAAACUCCUUUCGCAACUGACGAAGCUUUUUGUGACGGUAGGUUGAGAAGAAGCACCGGCUAACUACGUG